rnacentral:rRNA from 1 species
CUACGAGCGGCUGCAGUGGGGAAUAUUGCACAAUGGGCGCAAGCCUGAUGCAGCAACGCCGCGUGAGGGAUGAAGGCCUUCGGGUUGUAAACCUCUUUUAGCAGGGAAGAAGCGAAAGUGACGGUACCUGCAGAAAAAGCACCGGCUAACUACGUGUCAGCAGCCGCGGUAAUACGUAGGGUGCAAGCGUUGUCCGGAAUUAUUGGGCGUAAAGAGCUCGUAGGCGGUUUGUCACGUCUGCUGUGAAAAUCCAAGGCUCAACCUUGGACUUGCAGUGGGUACGGGCAGGCUAGAGUGCGGUAGGGGAGAGGGGAAUUCCUGGUGUAGCGGUGGAAUGCGCAGAUAUCAGGAGGAACACCAAUGGCGAAGGCACAUCUCUGGGCCGUAACUGACGCUGAGGAGCGAAAGCGUGGGGAGCGAACAGGAUUAGAUACCCUCGUAGUC